GCAUUGGUGGUUCAGUGGUAGGAUUCUUGCCUUUCAUGCAGGAGACCUGAGUUCAAUUCCCAGCCAAUGCA
rnacentral:tRNA from 1 species